rnacentral:rRNA from 1 species
UCUGACGGUCAUAGCAGAGGGGAAACACCCGUUCCCAUUCCGAACACGGAAGUUAAGCCCUCUUACGAUGUGGUGUGUACUGUGCAACUGUACGGGAAACCCAUGAAGCUGUCAGGC